AUGGGACCACGCAGCCAUCAUAACGGGAGUGUGACCGUUUUCUUUCCACUUGACACUGCAAGACUACGGCUGCAAGUGGAUGAGAAGAGGAAAGCCAGGUCCACUCCUGCCAUUCUGUCAGAGAUUGUCAAGGAAGAGGGGUUGCUGGCACCCUACAGGGGCUGGCUCCCAGUGAUCUGCAGUCUCUGCUGCUCCAACUUCAUCUACUUCUACUGCUUCCACAGCCUGAGAGCCAGCUGGUUCCGGGGACACAAGUCAACUCCAAGCAGAGACCUGCUAAUGGGCACUGCUGCAGGUGUAGUGAACGUGCUUAUGACCACUCCGCUGUGGGUGGUCAACACACGACUCAAGCUUCAGGGGGCAAAGUUCCGCAAUGCAGACCUCCGUCCCACUAACUACUCAGGCAUCAUGGAUGCCUUGGUGCAGGUCAUUGAGGAGGAAGGGGUGGGGGGUGGGGGCCCUGUGGAACGGGACAUUCCCCAUGAAAACACAGCAUGUCAUACCUCCGAUAUAUAAAAAUACCCUGCUGUUGUCUCUUGAGGUCUUUCUGAUUGGUGCCAUAGCCAAAGCAGUGGCCACCACAGUCACAUACCCACUACAGACUGUACAGUCCAUCCUGAGGUUUGGUCAACACACGCAGCACACAGGCGGAUCGCCACUUGUCAACAGCCUGAGAAGUGAGAUGCACCUGCUGAUCAAUAGAGUGAGGAAGUAUGGCAUGCUGGGCCUGUUCAAAGGCCUGGAAGCUAAACUCCUACAGACUGUCCUGACCGCUGCCCUCACGUUCCUGCUCUACGAGAAGAUUGCCAGCAGCACUUUCAGGGUCAUGGGACUGAAGAGGCCUGCGUCCAGCCACUAGCCUGUCUGUUACAUCAGACAUCCGAUCCCAUAUUUCUCCCUAUUUCUCCCCCCCCGUAGCCCUAACCCCUCAAUGUUGGCAUGUCUAAAGGGUCUGGAUAGGUAUAAGCAGUGUAGCUAGGGGUAAAUCUUUCACCAUAUUGCUUCUAUCUUACAUAUAUGCAAGUGUCAAAGGGUUAGGGCCAAAGGGAGGGGAAGGGAUCGAACUGAGACUGUACCAGAGAUAUUAGAGAAAGGAUGAGACAGCAGUCCCAUUGGGCAAUGAAUGGGGGAAUGUGUAACGCUUCACCCAGAAGACUGUCGACCAAUCACUUGGUCCACGCGGUGCAUUCUGGGCAACUCUGGGACAAGAAGAGCUCUCCUUCAAACAGUGAAUGGGAGUCAAUUGGGCGCUAGCUCAAAAUCCCCAAAUUAGCAUCAAUAACCCAAACCCUUUUCCUAACCGUAAUUCUCCUAAUCUGCUGUGUAAAUUCUCCUAACCUGCUACGAAAAGCCAAAUCUGACGUUCAUUUGACAAAAGCUGUAUCACUUCUAGCCAUGACCGGGCUCUCCUUGUUCCAGGUUUUUUGUCUAUUUAUUUUUAUGUAACUGCCAAUUUUGUGGAAGUAGACACCACUUGUUCCUCAGACUCAUGUGGAUUUCACCAUUUUGUACUUUCUAUGUUCUUCUAAGAUUAGCUGCUUAACUAAAUCCACAAAUUAUUUAGUGAUGCAUUGUUGCUCUUGUCAAAUCACUGAGACAUUUUUUCAUUGUGUCAUUAACUGUCUCUCUGACAAACGUAUAGCAUAAUUAAGGAAUGUAAUUAAAUGCAUUGUUGUACAGCACAAUGUCAUGGAUGGAUAAUUCACCAACAUUUCAGAUUCUCAGAAAGGUAGAAAUAAAGUGUUGCUUCUCAAAUAAGUACAUUUUAGCUUUUUUUGACCAUAUGCAUUCACUGUCAUUUUCAGAUUGUCUUUUUAAAAAUCUGUUUUUCCUCUUAUUUGCGUACUUCCUUUUACUGAUGUGGACAGUAAUAUAAUUCUGGACCAGUAGAUGGGGUCACAGCCCCACAGAACAAUAAAGGUUUAAAAUGUAGCGUUUACUACGGUGCUAUAUGUUUAAUCAAAUUAUUGGGCUAAACGGGUCCCCCACCAUCGAAGGAAUAUUUGGGAAGGAAUGGUGCCUUGAUCUAUGGAACCAUGGGGAUCCCUACAGCACAGAGAACAGUCCGCAACACAUUGCCAAAUCAACAGGGGUGCCUUCAGGCCAAGCUGACGUUAAAGAGGAGGAUUUUGAGGUGGAAAUCAUAAACAGCAGAGACCAACAGGAAAGACCAACAAUAAUUUUAGACGGAGAUGACGACUUAUUGGACAAUGGAAGAGAAGGGCCCUCCAAUGAGUAUCCAUCCUUUGAUUCCUUCCGCCAGGACAGGCCAGGGAGACGGGAUAAACAGGUACUGGAGAUGUCAACUACGGAUGUCUCCACAGGACACACUUUACGCUUCAUAUCCAUCGACGGAGUGGAGGAGGAAUAUGGCGAACAUGUAUUUCCCAUUGAGGACGAUGAGACGAAUGAGUUCCUACCAGACGAUACCGAGCUGUUGCCCAAUGAAGGACAAGAUGAACACAUCACAAAGCCAACGUAUGCAAAGAAGUCUUUAGCAAAGUCAAAAAGCAAAGCUGGAAAGACUGCUGGGAAGACUAAGACUUUCAGUUACUUUAAUAGGUUUAACUUGCACUCCCAUAGUAAAUCCGACACAAACAAGUUAAGUUGUGUGAUUUGUAAGAAGACUUUCUUGCGGCAGAACCAUCUGACGAUGCAUAUGAAAUCUCACAAAUCGCUGUACUGCAGUGUGUGUAAGAACUGUUAUCCUGGGAAAACUCAGCUCAAAAAACACAAGUGUGUUGCUCCCGAUUAUCUGGCCUCGAACAGCUCAAAGUACUUUUGCCAUUACUGUGGCAAGUCUUUCAGCUGUCCGUCAAGCCUGAGGAUACACCACCUGGUGCACACGGGAGAGAGACCCCACACGUGCACUGUCUGCGGGAGAGGAUUUACACAGAAGGGCAAUCUGAAAUGUCACAUGCGCCUUCACACUGGUGAGAAACCGUACAAAUGCCUCACAUGCGAAAUUGGUUUCACCCAGAAAGUAUACCUCACACAGCACUUGGCCAAAGCUCACGGUCAAAAGGAAGAUGAUAAGAAAAAGAAGGCUGAAGUGCACAAAUGUUCUAAGUGUCAGUUGUCUUUCGUCAAUCAGCAAUUGCUCCAAACACACAUGACUGUUCAUAAAAAUAAAUGAAGUAUUUUUGGUUGAUUGCAAUACUCUUGACUUAAAGGGGCAAGCUGCAGUUGCUACAUCUAUUUUGGGACUUAGAAAUUAUGUACUCAUUUAUUGUUGAAGAAUAUAACUUAAUGCAUCAUGAGCUUAGUUGAACUGUUGUACCCCAUCAGAACCCAACAUAAACAAAGUAAACACAUUUGUUAUUUAGCAGACGCUCUUAUCCAGAGUGACUUACAGGAGCAAUUAGGGUUAAGUGCCUUGAUCAAGGGCACAUCGACAGAUUUUUCACCUUGUCAGCUCUGGCAUUCGAUCCAGUGACCUUUCGUUUACUAGGGCAACACUCUUAAUGACUAGGCUGCCACAAAAUAGCCACAAAAUAGCCUCAAAACAUGGAUAAAACUAUCAUUUUGAUGGUCAGUCCUUGCAUCGAUAGCUCUAUAAAUUUGAGUUGUUAGCCUACAUUUCUCCAGGCCCAGCCCUCAGCUUUUUACCGAAAAGGGUGGGGAGGCCUCUAUCUGAACCGCUGAUUGCCCCUUUAAAAGAUUGUGUGCCUGCUCUGCUCAAACUGGAGAACCAAAUACUGUCUAGUGUAUGUCAUACUUCACAAUAUUGGAGCGACCUUAACACGUCACCUAGCGACCUUGUCAAGGGGUUUGGAUCUGGACGCUGGACCUGGGAGUCCCCCCCCCCCCCCCCCCUCCCAAAUACACUAAGGUAUGUUGUAGGCUUUAUUUGUCUGAAUUCGCUACAACACUAACAUGUUAUGAUUUACCUACAAUAAAAGUAAAUUGAAGUUUAUUUUGCAAAGAACGUGGCGCAUGAGUAUUGCACAAUUCAUAAGUACUGUAAUGUUUACCUACCACUAGCCUGUUCUAUAUUUUAGGCUCAAGGAAUUAACCUGCCAAUGUUUGAUGCAAGAUGGCACUGUAUCUGCAUUGUCCUCUAUACGUUGGUACAAAUGACAUAAGAUAUCAUUAAAUGGAUGUUUUCAAGUUCUGUUCCCAGCAGUGCAUUAUACCUGUUUUGUACAUAACUGACACAAUCAUGGAAGCAUUGUUUUUCUGGAAUAUAUUCAUCUACUGUAAACUUAGUUUGGUUUCAUAAUUAAAACACCAUUAAUGGUAUGCCAUUUCAAUCAUUUAA